rnacentral:misc_RNA from 1 species
AACCUAGCACACCUGCGGUGUGUACCUGCGGAAGGAUCAUUACCGAGUUUACAAACUCCCAACCCUUUGUGAACCUUACCAUAUUGUUGCUUCGGCGGGACCGCCCCGGCGCCUUCGGGCCCGGAACCAGGCGCCCGCCGGAGGCCCCAAACUCUUAUGUCUUUAGUGGUUUUCUCCCCUGAGUGACACAUAAACAAAUAAAUAAAAACUUUUAACAAUGGAUCUCAGAUCGGAAGAGCA